rnacentral:lncRNA from 1 species
AUCCUUUUCCUUUGAAGACUUUGCACGUUUUUUAUCCUUAGACUUUGAAGAUGAAGAUGAUUUAGACAAAGAUUGUCGCUUAGACGAUGAAGCCUUGUCCAAUCUAUUAUUGUUCCGGAAAUUUCGACGAAACUUCUUCGUAAGAAGCGCUAAUUGUUGUUCAAAGUCCGCAAUUGAUAACUCGUCGUCGGAACUCGAGUCUUCGUCCUUCUCCUUUGUAGAUUUCAAUGCAAC